GAAGGCCAGUGGCUGCUGUAUCUGUCACCCAAUCAAUUACCAGGGUUGACUUGGUUGAUCUGACUGGCUAAGAAAGUGUCCUUUUUCUAUCUUCUCCAUGUGUGUCCCUCCUGAAGUUGUGUGCUCUAUGGAAGAGGACACACGCCCCAAUAGAGGAACACUAGUAUUUGGUCAAAGGUACACAGGUAGCUAUGCUUCCUUCCUAGAACUUCCCCAAACAAGCUCUAAAAAGCAGGGUAGGAGAGACAACUGGGUACACAAACUUGACUCUAUAGUC
rnacentral:snRNA from 1 species